AUAAAAAAAUAAAUAAAUAAAUAAAUAAAUAAAUAAUUGUCUAUUUUAAUACUAAAAAGGAAAGAAAGAAGGAAGGAAGAAAAAAGAAUGAGAGAAAUAGAGAAAGAGGAAAAGAAAGAAAGUAAUGAAGGAAGGAAGAGAUAGAGAAAGAAAGAAGAAAGAAAGAAAGAAAAGAAGGAGGGUGGGAGGAAGAGAGGAAGGAAGGAAGGAAGGAAAGAAGAAAAAUAGGAAGAAGAGGGAAAAAAGGGCCUGAAAGAUGUGUUUAUAGUAGCACCACUGGGGGCAGUGGAAUGAAAUUGAGCAAAAUGUAAUGCAAGCUGGUUUUCCAGAAGAAAAAUCUUAAUAACCAGAUCCAUUGGUCUAUGGAUGGAGCCAUUGGAGGAAAAGUGAUAAGUUCCAACAUUUGAGACAUUUUAUGCUGAAAAUAUCUAGUAUCUGAAACAAACUGGGUGAAGGGAAAAAUGUUCUGUUGGCCAAGGAUUUCUGGGAUCCUACAGAUCUUUCCUCUAAUUUUUGGAUGCCACUAAAUUUUGUGAUUCAUAUCCAGAAAGCCCAGCUCUGAUAGGCCAGAAAUAUUAGAACCAAAUACAAAUAGUUUGCCACACAUCUUCUCCUUCCAUAGGUUUAGAGCUUUGAUUCUGUUUUGCUUCAGAAGCAGUUCAGGUCAUAGUCAAUGGACACAAAGAAGAUGCAUCUUCAAACCAGGAUAUGAUUGGGAAGACUAAAGACUUGCAAUUCUCCAGGCAGAAGAUUGCAACCUCCCAUUAUGAAACAGCAUCAUAAAAUGCAGAGCACAGCUACCCUGACUAAAACCACCUUUCUCCUCUGCUGAUACAGACAAACUAGCAGUAAAUGCUUUUUGAGCUCCCGGCGUGCAGAUAAAUUCCUACGGACAUCCCCAAUUGGACUGAAAGAUUGAGACACACAAGGGAGAGAAUAGCUGAGGCCAGGAGAAUUUAACAUGGCAAUUAGCAACCCUUCAACUUUGCCAGACCCCACAGCACAAGACAGGAUGGAGGUAACCAAAAAUCUCUCCAGAAGAGUAGUUGAUAAAUUGAUUGGGUCCCAGGGGUUGCUGGACACAGUUAUUAUCCAAUUGCAGGCCUGGAUGGUGUGCAAGUCUAUGUAGUGAAGUCAGAAAAUGAAACAGGGCUUUAAAUUCCCAAGGGGAGCUCCUUUGCUUAUGUAUCCAUUGCUGCACCCUUUCCCCUCAUUUUGGAAGACUCUGAAUCACAUCACAUAGUGUGUAUUAUCUUCUCUAACUGAACAAACAAGUUCUAAAACAUAAAAUAUAUAAAACAACUGUAACCAUUAUCAUCAAUGAUUCUGUUCUUAAGAAGUUAGAAAAGUAAAAUAUAAAAUUAAAAUUGAAAAUAUUUAAAGACUUCCAGAAUUUUUUUUUUUUUUAAAGCAGAGGGAGGGUGUGUGGGGGAAGAGGAAUUUUAAUCCUCUUUCUGUAUCAAUUCUGAUGGCUGCUUUUAAGAAUUAUUUUAACCAUCA
rnacentral:lncRNA from 10 species